UAGCAUCCAGUAGCUAGAUUAGCUCUACGCCACUGCAACGCAUCGCAGGUUAACACCCCUAAUCAUGUGCGUCGAGUCAGUGUGGGCGUGACUUUGACAGCAGUUCAGCAGGUUGAAUGAUUUUGAUCCAUGUGAUAGAUCACUACCCGGAUAUCACGAGGAGGUUGGUGUCACAAGAACGGGCUUGUGGUAACGGCUGGAGUAGAACAGGUGGAAUAGUAUCAAAUAAAAUCAAAUCCUUGGUUUCCAUUUGGUUCCAGCCAUUGUUAUGAGCCAUCCUCCCCUCAGCAGCCUGCUGUACCAUCUUGGCUAUUUGACAUCUCUUGCUGACGGUAAUAACAUUAACAACAAGCCACUGGGACUUGGACAAAACCGAGAAAACUGCACUAGGGGGAGCCAGUCAGUUGGACAUGGCUCCUAUAUUUACCUGCUUCCAGUGCACUCCAGCGAGAGGCGGAGGCAUGUGCUGUACCAUUACCAUCACCUGCAAAAACACCAGCACAACCUGACAAAUGUUUUCAAUAAGCUCUUAGUGAUGACAAUAUCAGCACCACUCUUCAAAUGAAAAAGAUCAUGGCAUCAUGGUCGCUCCAAGAGAAGAGAGGGGGGAAAAACAUGGUUUAUGGUCAAGGACAUUUGGAUCCAAGGGUCGUUAUCCUGUUGGAAGGUGAACCUUCGCCCCAGUCUGAGUUCCUGAGCGCUCUGGAGCAGGUUAUCAUCAAGGAUCGCUCUGUACUUUGCUCCAUUCAUCUUUGCCUUGAUUCUGACUAGUCUCCCAGUCCCUGCUGCUGAAAAACAUCCCCACAGCAUGCCACCACCAUGUGCUUCACCAUAGGGAUGGUGCCAGGUUUCAUCCAGACGUGAUGCUUGGUUUCAUCAGACCAUCAAUCUUGGUUUCAUCACACCAG
ensembl:lncRNA